AGCCAUGGCACCCUCGACUGCAGCACUGGCCGUGGUCGCGCUCCUAGCUCUCUCCGCCUCUGCGAGCGACUCUCACCCGUCCCACAGGUGGAAGCGGCUGUCGGACCAGCGGCUGGCGGAGCUGCAGACUCUGGUGGCGCUGCAGGCGAUGGGCCACACCGUGCCCGUGGGCGCGGGCGUCGUGGACCCCAGGGCCGUUGGUCGCAAACGUUCUGAUUG